ACUCGAGUGGCGAACGGGUGAGUAACACGUGGGUGAUCUGCCUUGCACUUCGGGAUAAGCCUGGGAAACUGGGUCUAAUACCGGAUAGGACGAUGAUUUGGAUGCCAUUGUGGAAAGUUUUCGGUGUGGGAUGAACUCGCGGCCUAUCAGCUUGUUGGUGGGGUAAUGGCCUACCAAGGCGUCGACGGGUAGCCGGCCUGAGAGGGUGGACGGCCACAUUGGGACUGAGAUACGGCCCAG
rnacentral:rRNA from 1 species